AUCGUGCAGUUGAAGUGAUACUCUCCUAUCAUUGCUUAAUUGGUAAUUCUCUCAAUCCUAAUAUUGUGUUGUUUUUACUUUUAAUCCAAACGAUUUUUUUUUCUAACGUAGUGUUUUUAUGUUUAUUUGUGCUAGCACCGUUGAUUUGGAAUCCAGUCAUGGAAAUUGACAAAAUUAUAAAUUCAAUGCGAUUGAAAUAACAUACAUUGUGGAGUUUGAAUUCGAUUGUUUUAGUUUUUACUUCUUUCAAUCUUUCAUCGGUUUGGUUCAUGUUGUUUUUUAAGUGGCAUUGAUAGAUGACUGCGUCAACAAACGAGACUACAUUGUUGUGUUUGGAAUUGUGCCCAACAAGAACUGCAAAAUUUGGGGGGAUGGAAAAGAAUGAUUGAUAAACGUAGGACUAAUUGUUUAUCGAUCUUGUGAACUAUUUGAUGGUACAUUUUUUGUUCUAUUUAUCGAUUAUGUGUUUUGUCAUUAGACAUAUCUUUUUUGGUUCAAGUAGCGUUUCACAAUGUAUCCGUCAGAAUUAAUUGUUGAUGUUUAUAAUAUUCAAACUUCAAUGAGAAAUAUCCUUUAUAUUUUGUCAUUAGCGAAACAUAUG
rnacentral:lncRNA from 1 species